rnacentral:rRNA from 1 species
GACGAACGCUGGCGGCGUGCUUAAUACAUGCAAGUCGAGCGGUAAGGCCCUUUCGGGGGUACACGAGCGGCGAACGGGUGAGUAACACGUGGGUGACCUGCCCUCAGCUCUGGGAUAAGCCUGGGAAACCGGGGUCUAAUACCGGAUAUGACUCCAUGACGCAUGUUGUGGGGUGGAAGGCCUUGUGCGGCUGAGGAUGGGCCCGCGGCCUAUCAGCUUGUUGGUGGGGUGAUGGCCUACCAAGGCGACGACGGGUAGCCGGCCUGAGAGGGCGACCGGCCACACUGGGACUGAGACACGGCCCAGACUCCUACGGGAGGCAGCAGUGGGGAAUCUUGCGCAAUGGGCGAAAGCCUGACGCAGCGACGCCGCGUGAGGGA